rnacentral:rRNA from 1 species
GAUGAACGCUGGCGGCGUGCCUAAUACAUGCAAGUCGAGCGAACAGAUAAGGAGCUUGCUCCUUUGACGUUAGCGGCGGACGGGUGAGUAACACGUGGGUAACCUACCUAUAAGACUGGGAUAACUUCGGGAAACCGGAGCUAAUACCGGAUAACAUUUGGAACCGCAUGGUUCUAAAGUGAAAGAUGGUUUUGCUAUCACUUAUAGAUGGACCCGCGCCGUAUUAGCUAGUUGGUAAGGUAACGGCUUACCAAGGCAACGAUACGUAGCCGACCUGAGAGGGCUGUCCGGCCCCCCGGGACUGGGGCCCCGGCCCGGCCCCCUACGGAGGCCGCCAGUGGGGAUCUUUCGGCAAGGGCGGAAGCCCUGCGGGGCCAACCCGGCGUGGGUAUUGAGGGUUUCCGGCCCUAAAACUCCGUUAUUAGGGAAAGAAAAAAUUGUAAGUUAACGGUCCCCUUUUGAACGUAACUAAUCCGAAAGGCCCCGCUUACUUCCGU